rnacentral:rRNA from 1 species
GACCCCGGUCAGGCGGGGCC